rnacentral:rRNA from 1 species
GUAGGUGGCAAGCGUUGUCCGGAAUUAUUGGGCGUAAAGCGCGCGCAGGCGGUUCUUUAAGUCUGAUGUGAAAGCCCACGGGCUCAACCGUGGAGGGUCAUUGGAAACUGGAGAACUUGAGUACAGAAGAGGAAAGCGGAAUUCCACGUGUAGCGGUGAAAUGCGUAGAGAUGUGGAGGAACACCAGUGGCGAAGGCGGCUUUCUGGUCUGAAACUGACGCUGAGGCGCGAAAGCGUGGGGAGCAAACAGGAUUAGAUACCCUGGUAGUCCACGCCGUAAACGAUGAGUGCUAAGUGUUAGGGGGUUUCCGCCCCUUAGUGCUGCAGCUAACGCAUUAAGCACUCCGCCUGGGGAGUACGGCCGCAAGGCUG